CCAUGGUUGUUCUCCUGAGCAACAGUCACAAGAAGGUUUAUCUGCUCUGCCAGCUAAUGCAGCAACAUCAAUAAACAGUUCCUGUCUGAACUGCUGUGUCAUUAGGAAAAUGGGAGAAGAACAAAGUGCAAAUUAGCAGAAGGGAGUUUGAGGGAAAGAGAGAGAUUGUAAACAAAAUCUGCAGUCGAUUAAAAGCUUUGCAUUUAAAGAAAUCAAUUGGCAGGACAUUGCUUGGCCACAAGGAUAGCGCAGCCUGUCAGUCACUCACUGAUUCUGUGGAAACAACAUGAAAUGUUGAAUCUGGACAGCGAGGGGGGACCGCUGCAGAAGAGAAACAGCAGCCAGGCGAACAAACAACUUACCCAACUGCCAGGAGGACUCCUUGAAUAAUUCAUAAAGAACUAAACAGUUUGAUUGCACAUGGGUUCUGCAUGUUAUUAUGAAGUUGAUUAGCUUUUACUCCAUGGAGGAUGGCUUGUCUCCAUAAAAGGGCCAGAAAGAAAAUAUUCCAAGAUCACAAUCAGUAUGAUGCCUUUAUGCUGCAUGGCUGUCAGUAAAAUAUCUGUCCUCAGUGAAGCAAAAAAGAGCUGCAGUAAUCUACAGGGUGGAGGAGGAGGAGGAUGGGUCGGGUCCGCACCUCCUCGCCGGCUGGGCUGGUCCUCGUUGCGCUCAGAUACAGGCGUUGUUUUUCAGCCGCAUCUUCUCCUCCAGGAGCCGCCAGUGAAUAAUAAAGGUCGAGAAGCUCCUGUAAAACGUAAACAACAACUCAAAAUGGAGAGCAAAGUUCAUGUUGCGCUGUA